GCAAACUUGGUCAUUUAGAGGAAGUAAAAGUCGUAACAAGGUCUCCGUUGGUGAACCAGCGGAGGGAUCAUUACUGAGUUUCCGAACUCCCAAACCACUGUGAACAUACCUACGUUGCUUCGGCGGGAUCGUCCCGGGCGCGCCUCCUGGCGUGUUCCGGAGCCAGACGCCCGCCGAGGACCCCUAACUCUUGGAUCAUGAAGCGGACAUCUGAGUAACGCGCAAAUCAAUCAAAACUUUCAGCAACGGAUCUCUUGGCUCUGGCAUCAAUGAAGAACGCAGC
rnacentral:misc_RNA from 1 species